CCUACGGGAGGCUGCAGUGAGGAAUAUUGGUCAAUGGUCGGGAGACUGAACCAGCCAAGCCGCGUGAGGGAUGAAGGUACAGAGUAUCGUAAACCUCUUUUGUCAGGGAACAAAGGCGGGGACGUGUCCCCGGAUGAGUGUACCUGAAGAAAAAGCAUCGGCUAACUCCGUGCCAGCAGCCGCGGUAAUACGGAGGAUGCGAGCGUUAUCCGGAUUUAUUGGGUUUAAAGGGUGCGCAGGCGGUCUGUUAAGUCAGCGGUCAAAGCCCGGGGCUCAACCCCGGACCGCCGUUGAAACUGGCAGUCUUGAGUUGGAGAGAAGUAUGCGGAAUGCGCGGUGUAGCGGUGAAAUGCAUAGAUAUCGCGCAGAACUCCGAUUGCGAAGGCAGCAUGCCGGCUCCACACUGACGCUGAGGCACGAAAGCGUGGGUAUCGAACAGGAUUAGAUACCCUUGUAGUC
rnacentral:rRNA from 1 species